rnacentral:rRNA from 1 species
UAGCGGACGGGUGAGUAAUGUCUGGGAAACUGCCCGAUGGAGGGGGAUAACUACUGGAAACGGUAGCUAAUACCGCAUAACGUCGCAAGACCAAAGAGGGGACCUCGGGCCUCUUGCCAUCGGAUGUGCCCAGAUGGGAUUAGCUAGUAGGUGGGGUAACGGCUCACCUAGGCGACGAUCCCUAGCUGGUUUGAGAGGAUGACCAGCCACACUGGAACUGAGACACGGUCCAG